GCCAUCGAUCGACACACGUUCUGCAUCUGUUGCCACCCCUGCAGCCACCAGAUCGCCGGCGAGCUCCGCCGCCACCAGCUCUGUCCCGUCGUGCGUCGCGGACGAACUCCGCCGCCACCAGCUCCCCCCAUCGUGAGGGCGAGCGUCGCCGCCAUCUGGUGCCACUCCUGCCGCCACCCCGUCGUGCUUUGCGGACGAGCUCAGCCGCCACCAGCUCUGCCCCGUCGUGCGUCGCGAUCGAGCGCCGCCUCAUCAGGAUGGCCCCGUCGUGCGUCGCGAUCGAGCGCCGCCUCCAUCACGCUGCCAGUAGGUCGACGCCGUCGCAACAAUGAGAGGAUCUUUGAACUCAAGGAGCUUCUACAGGCAUCUCAAAGCCCCAAUGUUGAAGUUUGCUGAACGCCAUUGGUUGAGAAAACGGGAGCAUCUGACCUGAGACCAGAAACGCAUUUCCAUUUGUGUUGAACUGAAUUUUUAUUUUCAUUGUAUUGCUUCAGUGUUCUGGUCCAGUAUUGAUUUUUGUUUUCGUUACUCUUCUCUCUGUACAACAAUGGCUAAUUCUGAAACUUCACCUAUAUGAUGGAUGUAUUAAAUCUAUGGACAAAUGAAGAUAAACGACUGUUCUGAUCA